rnacentral:rRNA from 1 species
CAUGGUCUUUUGAUUAUAAUUUAAGAUUUAAUCUGCUCAAUGAUUAUUUAAAUUGCCGCAGUAUUUUAAUUGUGCAAAGGUAGCAUAAUAAUUAGUUUUUUUAUUGGGGGCUGGUAUGAAUGAUUGGACGAUAAAAUGGCUGUUUCUUUAUAAAUAUUUAAUUAAUUUUAUAUUUUAGUUAAAAAGCUUAAAUUUGUUUAAAAGACGAGAAGACCCUAUAGAGUUUAAUAUAAAUUUAUUAUUAAAUUAUAGAAUAUUUAUUAAUAAGUAAUUAUUUAGUUGGGGUGACUUAAAAAUUUAUAUAAUUUUUUAAAUUUAAUAUUUUUAAUUAAAAAAUAUUUAAUCUUUUAUGUAAAGUUAAAAUUAAUUACCUUAGGGAUAACAGCGUAAUUUUCUUUUAAGUUCUUAUUAACUGGGAAGUUUGCGACCUCGAUGUUGGAUUAAAAUUUAUUUUGGGUGUAGUAGUUCAAAAUUUAAGUCUGUUCGACUUUUAAAAUU